rnacentral:rRNA from 1 species
UUUAGAACUGGCAGACUAGAGUCUUGGAGAGGGGAGUGGAAUUCCAGGUGUAGCGGUGAAAUGCGUAGAUAUCUGGAGGAACAUCAGUGGCGAAGGCGACUCCCUGGCCAAAGACUGACGCUCAUGUGCGAAAGUGUGGGUAGCGAACAGGAUUAGAUACCCUGGUAGUCCACACCGUAAACGUUGGGCGCUAGGUGUGGGGUCCAUUCCACGGAUUCCGUGCCGCAGCUAACGCAUUAAGCGCCCCGCCUGGGGAGUACGGCCUCAAGGCUAAAACUCAAAGGAAUUCACGGG